rnacentral:rRNA from 1 species
AUACGGAGGGUGCGAGCGUUGUUCGGAAUUAUUGGGCGUAAAGAGCAUGUAGGCGGUCUGUUAAGUCUGGUGUGAAAGCCCGGGGCUCAACCCCGGAAGUGCAUUGGAUACUGGCAGACUUGAGUAUGGGAGAGGAAAGCGGAAUUCCGAGUGUAGGAGUGAAAUCCGUAGAUACUCGGAGGAACACCAGUGGCGAAGGCGGCUUUCUGGACCAAUACUGACGCUGAGAUGCGAAAGCGUGGGGAGCGAACAGGAUUAGAAACCCCGGUAGUCC